rnacentral:rRNA from 1 species
UACGUAGGUGGCAAGCGUUGUCCGGAAUUAUUGGGCGUAAAGAGCUCGUAGGCGGUGUGUCGCGUCGGCCGUGAAAACCUGCAGCUUAACUGUGGGCUUGCGGUCGAUACGGGCAUCACUGGAGUUCGGCAGGGGAGACUGGAAUUCCUGGUGUAGCGGUGAAAUGCGCAUAUAUCAGGAGGAACACCGGUGGCGAAGGCGGGUCUCUGGGCCGAUACUGACGCUGAGGAGCGAAAGCGUGGGGAGCGAACAGG